rnacentral:rRNA from 1 species
CAGCCGCCACGGUAAUACGUAGGUGGCAAGCGUUGUCCGGAAUUAUUGGGCGUAAAGCGCGCGCAGGCGGUUUCUUAAGUCUGAUGUGAAAGCCCCCGGCUUAACCGGGGAGGGUCAUUGGAAACUGGGAGACUUAGAGUGCAGAAGAGGAGAGUGGAAUUCCAUGUGUAGCGGUGAAAUGCGUAGAUAUAUGGAGGAACACCAGUGGCGAAGGCGACUCUCUGGUCUGUAACUGACGCUGAGGCGCGAAAGCGUGGGGAGCAAACAGGAUUAGAUACCCCCGUAGUCCCUGUCUCUUAUA